UGGAUGGAGGGUUUGAUCCUGGCUCAGGGUGAACGCUGGCGGCGUGCUUGACACAUGCAAGUCGAACGGUAUGUGGCAACACAUAGAGUGGCGAACGGGUGAGUAACACGUGGGAACGUACCCUACGCAGGGGGAUAACUGACCGAAAGGACAGCUAAUACCGCAUAAGACCGCA
rnacentral:rRNA from 1 species